rnacentral:tRNA from 1 species
UGGAGUGUAGUUCAGUGGUAGACCACUUGCCUAGCAUGUGCGAGGCCCUGGGUUUGAUCCCCAGUGCUGCAA